UACGGAGGGUCCAAGCGUUAAUCGGAAUUACUGGGCGUAAAGCGCGCGUAGGCGGUUACAUAAGUUGGAAGUGAAAGCCCUGGGCUCAACCUGGGAACUGCUUUCAAAACUGUGUGACUAGAGUGCAGCAGAGGAUAGUGGAAUUUCUAGUGUAGCGGUGAAAUGCGUAGAUAUUAGAAGGAACACCAGUGGCGAAGGCGACUGUCUGGGCUGACACUGACGCUGAGGUGCGAAAGCGUGGGGAGCAAACAGG
rnacentral:rRNA from 1 species